rnacentral:rRNA from 1 species
UCCAGACUCCUACGGGAGGCAGCAGUGAGGAAUAUUGGUCAAUGGGCGGGAGCCUGAACCAGCCAAGUCGCGUGAGGGAUGACGGUCCUACGGAUUGUAAACCUCUUUUGCCGGGGAGCAAGCGUGCGUUCGUGAACGCGCGUCGAGAGUACCCGGAGAAAAAGCAUCGGCUAACUCCGUGCCAGCAGCCGCGGUAAUACGGAGGAUGCGAGCGUUAUCCGGAUUUAUUGGGUUUAAAGGGUGCGUAGGCGGGCAUUUAAGCCGGCGGUCAAAUGUCGGGGCUCAACCCCGGCCUGCCGUCGGAACUGGGUGCCUUGAGUGGGCGAGAAGUAUGCGGAAUGCGUGGUGUAGCGGUGAAAUGCAUAGAUAUCACGCAGAACCCCGAUUGCGAAGGCAGCAUACCGGCGCCCUACUGACGCUGAGGCACGAAAGUGCGGGUAUCGAACAGGAUUAGAUACCCAGUA